CGGUGUCAUCAUCGGUCUCAUCGCCAUCAUCUUCGCCCACAUCGUCACCACUGCUCGGGUACAGUAUCGCCGCCAACUCCUCCUUUCUCUCCUCCGGCGACGGCCCCAGCGCGCGCUCCUCCCCCUCCGCCACCCUCAUCCUUCACCACUUCAGGGCCCUGUGAUCCCACGCCACAGGACCCCCACACUUCCACCACCACCCCGAUACAAAUCCUGCACACGAGCAAACGAUUCAAUCAACCAAAGCAACACCACCCAACCCAACCCAAAACAAAUCCAAUCUGCGGCAAAUUCUCCAACCCCCCACCCCUCCCCCCGCCCUCCCGAUCUAAUCCACCGAGUGGCAAGCAGCGAGGGUAUCCCGAGGGGUCGAGUGCUCACCGGCACACGAGACGCGCGGCUGCUUGACGGCGACGGCGGCGGCGGCGGCGGAGGGAAGAGUAGUAGUAGAGAAGGAAGAAGACUAGUCGGGGGGAG
rnacentral:lncRNA from 1 species